UGCUGGAGGUAUCAGAAGUGCGAAUGCUGACAUAAGUAACGAUAAAGCGGGUGAAAAGCCCGCUCGCCGGAAGACCAAGGGUUCCUGUCCAACGUUAAUCGGGGCAGGGUGAGUCGACCCCUAAGGCGAGGCCGAAAGGCGUAGUCGAUGGGAAACGGGUUAAUAUUCCCGUACUUGGUGUUACUGCGAAGGGGGGACGGAGAAGGCUAUGUUGGCCGGGCGACGGUUGUCCCGGUUUAAGGGUGUAGGUGUGUGUUCCAGGUAAAUCCGGUUCACUUUAACACUGAGGCGUGACGACGAGGCACUACGGUGCUGAAGCAACAAAUGCCCUGCUUCCAGGAAAAGCCUCUAAGCAUCAGGUAACACGAAAUCGUACCCCAAACCGACACAGGUGGUCAGGUAGAGAAUACCAAGGCGCUUGAGAGAACUCGGGUGAAGGAACUAGGCAAAAUGGUGCCGUAACUUCGGGAGAAGGCACGCUGACACGUAGGUGAAGUGAUUUACUCAUGGAGCUGAAGUCAGUCGAAGAUACCAGCUGGCUGCAACUGUUUAUUAAAAACACAGCACUGUGCAAACACGAAAGUGGACGUAUACGGUGUGACGCCUGCCCGGUGCCGGAAGGUUAAUUGAUGGGGUCAGCGUAAGCGAAGCUCCUGAUCGAAGCCCCGGUAAACGGCGGCCGUAACUAUAACGGUCCUAAGGUAGCGAAAUUCCUUGUCGGGUAAGUUCCGACCUGCACGAAUGGCGUAAUGAUGGCCAGGCUGUCUCCACCCGAGACUCAGUGAAAUUGAACUCGCUGUGAAGAUGCAGUGUACCCGCGGCAAGACGGAAAGACCCCGUGAACCUUUACUAUAGCUUGACACUGAACAUUGAGCCUUGAUGUGUAGGAUAGGUGGGAGGCUUUGAAGUGUGGACGCCAGUCUGCAUGGAGCCGACCUUGAAAUACCACCCUUUAAUGUUUGAUGUUCUAACGUGGACCCGUAAUCCGGGUUGCGGACAGUGUCUGGUGGGUAGUUUGACUGGGGCGGUCUCCUCCUAAAGAGUAACGGAGGAGCACGAAGGUUGGCUAAUCCUGGUCGGACAUCAGGAGGUUAGUGCAAUGGCAUAAGCCAGCUUGACUGCGAGCGUGACGGCGCGAGCAGGUGCGAAAGCAGGUCAUAGUGAUCCGGUGGUUCUGAAUGGAAGGGCCAUCGCUCAACGGAUAAAAGGUACUCCGGGGAUAACAGGCUGAUACCGCCCAAGAGUUCAUAUCGACGGCGGUGUUUGGCACCUCGAUGUCGGCUCAUCACAUCCUGGGGCUGAAGUAGGUCCCAAGGGUAUGGCUGUUCGCCAUUUAAAGUGGUACGCGAGCUGGGUUUAGAACGUCGUGAGACAGUUCGGUCCCUAUCUGCCGUGGGCGCUGGAGAACUGAGGGGGGCUGCUCCUAGUACGAGAGGACCGGAGUGGACGCAUCACUGGUGUUCGGGUUGUCAUGCCAAUGGCACUGCCCGGUAGCUAAAUGCGGAAGAGAUAAGUGCUGAAAGCAUCUAAGCACGAAACUUGCCCCGAGAUGAGUUCUCCCUGAGACUUAGAGUCUCCUGAAGGAACGUUGAAGACGACGACGUUGAUAGGCCGGGUGUGUAAGCGCAGCGAUGCGUUGAGCUAACCGGUACUAAUGAACCGUGAGGCUUAACCUUACAACGCCGAAG
rnacentral:rRNA from 1 species